UGGCAAACCACAAAAUUACCUUCAUAAUUUUUUUAAACUUUUUUAACUUCAUCCACUAGGUUUUUUUUUUUUUUUCUGCAGAAGUAUUAAAUUUAAUGUAGCAUUCAAAAAGGUAUUUCUGGGGGCUGGGGCAGUAGCUCAGUGGUAGAGUGCCUGCCUUGAAUGUAUGAAGUACUGGGUUUUAUCCUCAACAUCACAUAAAAAUGGAUAAAUAAAGAUAUUGUGUCCAUCUGCAACUAAAAAAAUAUUUUUUAAAAAGGUAUUUCUGCAUUUUCAUUCUAUGUAAUUAUUUUUAUUUAAAUAAUAGUGAUUUUUUUCUAAGUUGUAUUGCAUCAUCAGUAAUUUUGACUUUAUUGAUAAAAUUAGCAGGCUUGAUUAGGAACUUAGCUACUAUUUUUUUUAAUUAGUUUCUGUUAGUAAGUAACUUCUGAGUUAUUAGAAGUGACACAAAUUUUUAAACAUAAAACCCCUUUAGUAAGUUGAAGCUUUAGUUUUUUUUAAAAGAAUUUGUGUAAAUAUCUCCUACAGUUGGUGUCAUAGGAAGGCCAAUCUGUUAAUUGCAUGUAAAUAUAAAUUUAGUUUAUUCCUCAUAGAUUGGGUGAUUUUUAUUUUAGGGAAAAUUUCAUCAUAAGAAGGUUAUAACUAAAAUGGUGUUUUUCAAAAACCAUGUUGAAGGGAUUAUUCCUGAGGGACAAUGCACACAUAUGUCAAUCCCCCACCCCAUAUUGUCUUCAGAUGGUGUUUGGAAGGGUGAGCUUGUUAGCUCCUCUGGGAGGUUAACAGAUUACAUUAGAAUAUUCAGGACUUGAAAUGGCUCUACAGAAAAUGAGCCUUCAACACCAGGCUGAACACAGUCUUCUCCAGAUUUAUUUUUAAAACAUUUCUCCACCGACUAUACUCUCAGCAUCCCUACUUUACAAUAUCCUGGCUUACAUCUAGGGCGUAUUCUCUACAGUUUUAUCAGGUUUUAUCAAGCAGGUUGUCCCUCUUCAUUCUGCAGCUAAACCAUAGAGAGAUUCCUUGCCAGAAAUCCCAAGAGAAAUGGAAAUGAUUCUCAUGGUUCUCCUCUUUUCCCCUCAAAUGCCUUUGUUUUAUUCAGUUUUAACUUUAGUCGGAAAACCGGGAUAUGUUCUGGGUCAAUCAUUUCACAGGUUUUGUUUGACCUCGUGUUCCCUCAAGCCCCAAUUUCCACACCCCUCCCUCACCUGUGUCUCCUCACUCUCUCUCGCCCAGCCCCUUGCCUCCUUAGGACCUCUGGCUGAUAGCACUGGGCCCUCGAGAGUCCACAGGGCCUUUCUCUGUGGGAUCUAUUAUAUAAAUGGGGGCUUUCAUCCUCUCAUCCACUCCAUUAAAACUUCCAUUUUCUGGGUACAGUUGUUAGGGGAAAUCAUUUUCACAAUUUCACGUAGUGAAAGAUAGCAUAGCCUAAUGCAUUUUUUCCCGCUUUAGAAUUUUAGCAUUUUUUUUUUCAGUAGAGAAUGAGGUUUCCAAGUACAGAAUUAGAGCUGCUAAAGUAGUCAAGUUCACCUCAUCAGGAAAGGCAGGAGGUAUUUUCCAGAUUCCAUGAUUCAGACCACCUAGGAGUGACAGCUAAUCUUGUCUGAGUUGGGUACUGGGCUCGGCAUGGUUCCAGUGACAUUUUCUGCCUUGGACAACAGGACCUAAUUCCAGUAGCACAUUUCCAGUUACACUUGGAGUAUCUAAAACAGGGGUUGGAAGCUAUGGCCCAAAGCCUGUUUUUAGAAAACCCAUGAACGAAGAAUACUGUUUAAAUUCUUAUGUAGUAAAUUUGAAAAAAAUAAUAAUAUUUUGUGACAGAUGAAAACUACAGAAAAUUUAUAUCUCAGAGCCCACAAAUAAAGCUUUAUUAGAACACAGUUACUGUUAUUUGUUUACAAGUUGCCUAUGGCAGAGCUUGUGCCUUAAGAGCAGAGUUGAGUAGUAGUGACAGAGACCAUAUGGCCUUCCAAGCUUAAAAUACUUGCAAUCUGGUCCUUUAUAGAACAAGUUGGCGUACCCUAACCUAGAAGACAGGAAACACAUAAAUGGAGUUGUAGGGGCACCUCGCCACCUCCUGUUCUAGAAUAAUACUAUGUGUCUCCUAUAUUCACAUUUAUUCUACUAUGUAAAACCCCCGGGAAAAGCUAUUUUUUUAAUUUGUUUCUCGAGGCCCUAAAAUUUCUUUCUUACAUUACCAAAAUAAUCCUUGCUUCUUGUGACAAAUCAGAGUAAAGAGAUGUUUUUAAGGAAAAAAACCAAAAACCUUUCUAAACUUAUAAAAUCCUGCUAUGAGAAAUAAGCAAUGGUAGGCAUUCUUUGACUUGUGUUGCACUUAAUCAAACAGAAACAAGCAUGUAUGGAAAUGAGGUAUUGUGUGUGUUUGUUUUAAGAAGCACUAAUUGGUUAUGAAUCUGUACCCUGAAGAGUAGUCCUUAAUAGGUUAUAUAUGAACCAUCUCUUGACUAUUUCUACUAGCUUCGGGCUUGGGUAUACCAAAUUCAUGCAGCCAUUCACUUUUGGAUAUAUACACGUUCCCCCUCCGCCCCCCCCCCCAUAGUCUUCUAAUCCAGUGGUGGUAAGCACAUUACAUGCAAAUCCUUACAUAAGUGCAGCAAUGAGUCCCAAAUGAAUUGCUAGGUUGAAAGGUUUGUGCAAAUAUUAUCAUUAUUAUUAUUUACAAAAAGGCUACUUCUCUUUCUAUUAAUACAAAGAAAUACAAGGCAAAAGGUAAACACUCUUUUAAGAAUAACUAAAAGUUAAAUACAUUUCAUAACAUUUUCUUUUCUAAGAAGGAGUCAGUAUUAUAGAGAUGCCAAAUAUUUCUAUUUCUAGAAAUAUUUGUAAAUUGUGUGACCUUCUUUGAUUUAUGUGAUAUUAUCUGCUGUGAAUUUAACCUUGUUUAAAACUAUUAUUGUCAUUCCAAUUUACUAGUAUUAUUUUGCCAGAUUUAAUGUUUUUAUCCUUUUAAUCUAUC
rnacentral:lncRNA from 1 species